rnacentral:misc_RNA from 1 species
GAAAUGCGAUAAGUAAUGUGAAUUGCAGAAUUCAGUGAAUCAUCGAAUCUUUGAACGCACCUUGCGCUCCUUGGUAUUCCUUGGAGCAUGCCUGUUUGAGUAUCAUGAAAUCUUCAAAGUAAAUCUUUUGUUAACUCAAUUGGUUUCUACUUUGGUAUUGGAGGUCUUUGCAGCUUCACACCUGCUCCUCUUUGUUCAUUAGCUGGAUCUCAGUGUUAUGCUUGGUUCCACUCGGCGUGAUAAGUUAUCUAUCGCUGAGGACACUGUAAAGGGUGGCCAAGUUAAAUGCAGAUGAACCGCUUCUAAUAGUCCAUUGACUUGGACAAUACUUUUAUGAUCUGAUCUCAAAUCAGGUAGGACUACCCGCUGAACUUAAGC